UACGUAGGGUGCGAGCGUUAAUCGGAAUUACUGGGCGUAAAGCGUGCGCAGGCGGUUAUGUAAGACAGUUGUGAAAUCCCCGGGCUUAACCUGGGAACUGCAUUUGUGACUGCACGGCUAGAGUGCGGCAGAGGGGGGAUGGAAUUCCGCGUGUAGCAGUGAAAAUGCGUAGAUAUGCGGAGGAACACCGAUGGCGAAGGCAAUCCCCUGGGCCUGCACUGACGCUCAUGCACGAAAGCGUGGGGAGCAAACAGG
rnacentral:rRNA from 1 species